rnacentral:rRNA from 1 species
AGAGUUUGAUCCUGGCUCAGGAUGAACGCUAGCGGCAGGCUUAACACAUGCAAGUCGAGGGGUAUGGUUCUUCGGAACCAGAGACCGGCGCACGGGUGCGUAACGCGUAUGCAAUCUACCUUUCACAGAGGGAUAGCCCAGAGAAAUUUGGAUUAAUACCUCAUAGUAUAUUGGUCUCGCAUGAGAUUAUUAUUAAAGAUUUAUCGGUGAAAGAUGAGCAUGCGUCCCAUUAGUUAGUUGGUAAGGUAACGGCUUACCAAGACUACGAUGGGUAGGGGUCCUGAGAGGGAGAUCCCCCACACUGGUACUGAGACACGGACCAGACUCCUACGGGAGGCAGCAGUGAGGAAUAUUGGACAAUGGGCGCAAGCCUGAUCCAGCCAUGCCGCGUGCAGGAUGACGGUCCUAUGGAUUGUAAACUGCUUUUAUACGAGAAGAAACACUAGUUCGUGAACUAGCUUGACGGUAUCGUAAGAAUAAGGAUCGGCUAACUCCGUGCCAGCAGCCGCGGUAAUACGGAGGAUCCAAGCGUUAUCCGGAAUCAUUGGGUUUAAAGGGUCAGUAGGCGGUCAGAUAAGUCAGUGGUGAAAGCCCAUCGCUCAACGGUGGNAACGGCCAUUGAUACUGUCUGACUUGAAUUAUUAGGAAGUAACUAGAAUAUGUAGUGUAGCGGUGAAAUGCUUAAA